ensembl:lncRNA
ACUUGGGGAACUCUGCUGGGAACAAUAGUUUUGUGGAAACAAAGGCAUUGAAAAACAGUGGAAAAUCCAGAUUCCUCAUCAGUUUUAAAGCAGCCGUCCUGGAAGGAAUGCAUUUCCUAUCAUUCCCCAUGAUGUUAGCAGCUUCCAAUGAUCUGAGCUAUUUCUUCUGGGUGUGUGUGGAGGCGGAGUGGUACUGAGGAUGGAAGGAGUACAGAGAGUUACAGCAAACGUAUAAAGCAUCUACCAGCUAAUGAUGCCUCAGUUCAGUCCAGUCGCUCAGUCGUGUCCCACUCUUUGCGACCCCAUGAACCGCAGCACGCCAGGCCUCCCUGUCCAUCACCAACUCCCGGAGUUCACUCAAACUCACGUCCAUCAAGUCAGUGACGCCAUCCAGCCAUCUCAUCCUCUGUCGUCCCCUUCUCCUCCUGCCCUCAAUCUUUCCCAGCAUCAGAGUCUUUACUCUGCCAAAAUUGUGUUUAUUUGUUAAAAAUAUACUUCAUUGUAUUAUAGCAAAACUAAACCCCUCCCCAGUCCCUACCGAGACAGAAUGAUUGGGUUUCAGGGUGAGGUGCCAGCUAGUGUUUUGGGGGGUAUUAAUGUGCCAGCUGCUCCUGCAGUAUUCAUUUUAUUUCCAGUCCCCAGGCUGGUUUUACACGUUUUUUGUGUAAGGGAAUCAGGAUUAGGGAGUCUUUUGUUAGUGAGGGGGUGAGAGCGAGCAGCAUCACCUUUGAGCUCCGUACGCAGGGACAGCCUAGCAGGCAAGGCUCGAAGCUUUGAUUUACUUCUUGCUCUCUGACUUUUUCACAAAAAGAAAAGAUCUAUCACAUGGGGCUGCUCUGCUGGAAGCUUGUAUGGCAGUGGAUUGGGGUGACUGUUGCUUCCAAAUGCAGUUCACAGCCACCAAGCCAGGGUCACAUUGGAACUCUGUGCAGAUACAACGCUCCCAACCUGCUAAGAAGAAACGCUCCUAUAGGAAGAAAUGCUUCUUUAUUGCAUGGUGAAAGGCGCUAUUGGGUGGUCCUUGCCUGAGAGCUGAAAGAGCAUAUGGAUUCCCACUUGCUUCUCUGAAGGAGCUAACAUUAUUUUUACCCACUUGGAAACGCCGAGCUGCUACCCGCGUUCAGAGUCCCCCCUCACUGGCCAGCUUGUCCAAGUGCAGUGACCUGCUUGAACAAUGCCAGUGAGCUUCUCCUCCACUGAGCAAAUCGCACAGCCUCCUAAAGAAAGAGAGGCCUCUUUUAUGAAGCAACUCCUCUUAAGAUGGGAUUGUGAAACAGAUACACACAUGCACACGUCACACGACAUCGUUUUUUUGUGUGUGUGUGUGUUUGGUUGUUUUUAAGACUGGGGACAAAAUUACUAAGCAAAAUUUCCCAAUGAACACUUCUCUUAUUUUUAAGGACAGAGAAAGGCAAAGUGAAAAAGUAGCCUCGCUUAUCCUCCUUCCCUUCCCCCUCACAGCCCAGACUCAAAACACUCAUUCUGAGGAUGGAGCAGAGGUGGCAAAGGUCAAGAAAAUGGGGCCUUGUCUAUUUACCGGCUCUGUAAGGAACUAUUGUGGCGCAGCAGCUGUUCUUCUUGCUCCUUCGGAAGCCUGCCUGCAGUGGAUGCGGGGGAGGGAGGCUGUGACACUGGCAGGCAGGGCGUGUGGGGAGUAACAGCUAAUA